AACAAAUCUCCACAAGGGAGAUUUCUUCAGAAGGGUACAGGACAUGGAAAUGCUGUGUAAGAGCCUGCACAGAUCUGAAGAGUCAAGAGAUAAGCCACAGUAAAACAUGGAAUUCCGCCUCUGUACUUCAGUAGAAAAAUUAACUGCAAACAUUAUAUUUGGGAUACAGAAUUAGGAUGGCAGAAAACACGGCAAAGGUCAUGCCAGCCUAGGCUCUGGGACAGGAUCUCUCAUCACAAGAUCAACAGCAAAGCCAGGCGCUCCAGCAUCCCAGUUCUCAGCUCUUUCAGCCAACUUGACUUCAUCAUGGAACUGAUGUGGCACUAUGAGUGCGCACACUUGAACAGCAACUUUUGUUUCAGCAUUUGUCCCCUUAGUGAAUGCACCUGAAGAUUAAAGCAGAAUAUUGAACAUGGUGAGCUGUUAACCUGAAAGAAAGGACAGAGUUUUCCCCUUGAGCUGAAAAAGGCAACCCUGAGUCACCCAGCACAUUUGAGACAUGAUCAAAUUCCUGAUCACUUGGAUACAUGGAUGGUGCUUGAAAAUUAUUGCUAGACAGAGGUUAUGCCACUGCUCUAGGAGAGGCAGAAAAGUCAGCCUUGGAGGAUAUUCUGUCUGCCAUAUGAGCCAUCACUUACAGGUCUGUAGUUCAAGGGGAUUUAGCUUGUCUUCUCACAGUUGCUUGAAGUGCAUGAACAGGAAAUUUCCGUGGUUUCAAUAGCAACUGCUGUGUGGUGCGAAUAGCUCGGUAUUUCAAAACAUUUUCAUUGUGAAAUACAAGCCCCUCAGGUCUUCAAAAAUUUUGUUUAUGAGGAUUAAAACCAUAGAAACAUAGAAUAUGCUGAGUUGGAAGGGACCCCUGAGGAUCAUUGAGUCCAACUCCUGGCCCUACACAGGAGUGUCACAGGUAUCACACUAUGUGCCUGAGAACAUUUUCCAAACCUUUCUUAAAUUCUGUCAGGCUUGGUGCUGUGACCACUUCCUUGGGGAACCUGUUCCAGUGCCCAGCCACCUUCUGUGUGAAGAAUGUUUUUUUAAUAUCCAACCUAAACCUCCUAUGACAUAACUUCAUGCUGUUUUUCAAGUCCUGUCACUGGAGACAGGAGUGAAGAGAUCAGUGUCUGCCUCUCCUCUUCCCCCACAAGGAAGUUGUAGACUGUGAUGAGAUUUCAGUCUCCUCUGGAAUGAACAGACCAAGUGACCUCAGCACUCUUCAUACAGCUUCCCCUCAAGGACUUUCACUAUCCUUAUUGCCCUCCUUUGGACACUCUCUAACAUUUAAUGGCUCUUUUAUAUUGUGGCUCCAAAACUGCACACGGGACUCAAGGUGAGGCCGCCCCAGCUCAGAGCAGAGCAGGACAAUCCCCUCCCUUGCCUGGCUGUGAUGCUGUGCCUGAUGCAUCCCAGGACAGGGUUGGCCCUCCUGGCUGCCAAGGCACUGCUGGCUUAUGUUCAACUAGACACUGACCAGGACCUCCGUCUUGUUUUCUAUGGCACUGCUUUCCAACAUGCCAUUCCCCAGUCUGUCUGUACAUUCAGGGUUCCCCUACCCAGGCACAGAACCUGACACUUUUCAGUGUUGAACUUCAUAGGGUUCAUAGCGUUGGUGAUUGCCAGUCUCUGAUUUGUCAAGAGCUCUCUUCAGGACUUUUCUGCUCUCAAGGGAGUCAACAGGUCCUCCCAAUUUAAACGUCCCUGGCAAAUUUAUUUCAUAUUUGUUCAAGUCCAGUGUCCAAAUCAUUAAAGAAGAUGUUGAAGAGCACAGAGAACCAAGGAUAGGGCCCUUCAGAACCCCACUAGUGAAAGGUCAUCAGUCUGAUUUCACCCCAUUCUCUGUAACCCUUUGUGCCCAGCCCAUGAGCCAGUUGCUCACCCAUUGGUUAUCUGGAUGAGUGCUGACAAUACACAAGAGCUCUGUUAUAACUGUUUUUUAUUCUUGGAAGCAAGAACUAGAAGAAAGAUCAAUGUAACAGUGUUACUUAUCUCUGAUUUUACUAAUUGGAAUAUUAAUUCCCAUGAGUAACUUGGAAAUGUAAAAAUACCUUAGGUCAAAGUAGUAUUUGCAUAAGAACAAAGACAGCAACAAUCACUUAGAUAAACACAGCAUAAGGAUAUAUUUUUUUAUUAGGUAGCCAUUUUAAAAAAUCUGAAUAUAUAUUUCUACAUAUCUCUUAAAUAUUUAAAUACACUUAAUAAGUAUUUCUAUUACAUCUUCUAAGAAAAUCUAACACAGUUUAGAUGGAGACAACCAAUUCUCAUAGUUUCUUUUAAAAAAACAAAUGAAACAAAAGCACAAAACAUAAUUCUUGCAUCAGGUAAAUCCAUCAUAAUCUUGGGAAACACAUUUCUGGCAGAAUGCAGGAGUUUACCAGUCUGAAUUCUUGAAUGAGAUUAUUCUCUACAACAGGGUAGAGUUACUCUGCAGUAAUUGAGUAUCAUUAUAUAAAACAUGCUGAGAUGCUCGAAGUUGUAGUAUCUACUUAAUGAACCAAUUUACAUAACUUGCUAGUUUAAUCUAAGCGUCACAUAUAAUUUCAUCAUCUUUCUUCCAGCUGAGCUGUCUCUCUAACUUCUCUUUUCCCAGUGAAAGUCCAUUAUCCAUUAAGAAGAUUAGCUAAAUCCAUUUUUUUGUCUGGUUUGGAAAAAAAGGUCAUAAGGAUACAACUAAUCAAAAUGUACUGGUAUAAUGAAAGUGCAUUCUACUGUCUUUUAUCUUGGGAAGUUUUAUGGUAAGCUUUUUCUUUUGCCAGACAUUUUCUUUACUGAGGUCUUUUGUUCUAAAUUUGACUAAAACACCAAUAAUUCAAGCAAAGCAUGAUGGUUCGUCUCCAUUUCUUCCUUGUUUGGCUCUCUUCUCCAUUAUGGAAUCAGCCUAUUCUGGGCAGGCUGUAGAGGAAUGUCACACUCAUUUCAGGUUUGGUGUGCUAGAUGGAGAAGAGGGGCUAGAACCUGUGUUUCUCCCACUGUUCUGCAUUCCUGUUAUCAUGCAGAAAACUAGAAAAACUGCAGGGUCCUGUUACCUAGUACUAGACAGUAAAAUAGAAAUAUGUAGUUACAAAUUCCUUUUAAUGCCCAAACUACUGUUCACAAAAUACACUGUAUUUUUCUUCUCCAUGCUUCUUUAACUAAAAUUAAGAUUUAAUUGUAUCAAAUAUGUCCAAAGUGAAAGUUUCAAUAAAGCUAUCUCCAUUAAUCUGUAACACCCUUGAUGCAUUUUGUGAUGAGAACUGGAAAGGUCAUGGCCUAUCACUGCCUAGAGCAUGACAUACAUGCAUCCCAAAAACAUGACAUCCCAAGGGAAAAUAAAUUUGGAUUAUUGUGUUUCAGUGCUUAUUCUGGAUUUAACUGUUACAGGAUCUGGCUUUUUUUCUUUGUCUUGUCAAAAUUUGCCAUUAGGUGACUGGAAACAACAAGAAAAUCCAUGUAGUUGAGUGCACUCAACUCAACUCUCCUCCUUUGGUCCCUGAGUCAGUAUUCCCAUGGAGUUCAGCUCAGCACUAUUCAGUACAGUCUACCAUAACAUUUACAUUUCAGAGGAUGACUCAUAGUUUAGCUAGCAGAAAGAUAAUCUGGUAGGUGAGUCCUUUUGCUGUAAUGAUAAGAAAUCUCCAGACUCACCAGAAAGAUAUUUGAAUCAGAUUAUACUAGGAAGAUUCACGGGCUCCAGCAAGUUCACAGCCCCAAGGCAAUAACUUUUUUUUUCAUCUGCUGUUUGAAGAAAUAAGGAACUGAUGGAUAAUUGCUCUUGCUGAUCAGUCUUAGUGACAAACUUCAAGAA